rnacentral:rRNA from 1 species
GUCAGAGAAAACAGGGGAGAGAUUAAUGGAAGCAUUCCACGAAAUAGUCACCACCCCGGAAUGAAAUUAGGUCCUAUCGCCUUUGCCAUUGCCUUGCUGGCCCCGACCCCCCCUCGCUCUCUCCUUGGGUUGCCUUGUUCGUCUUCUCUCUUGCUUGCUAGUCCUCUCUCUCUCUCUCUCUUUGCUGUGGAGCGGAGAAGAUAGAGAGAUUCCCUGAUCUGCUCGUCGAUCGGGCCUGCCUGCCUGCCUGCAAAAUUUGGCACCGCGAGAAGGGAGACCGAAAAGGAGAGCGGAAAAGCGCAUCUUAUUUUAGUCUCUCCGCCUCAGCUUCGCGGUUGCUUCGUCUGGAUCCCGUAGAGGAGCCCACCCGUUCCACCAAAACCCAAUCUUCCGCUUGCUCGAGAUCGAUUGGUUUCCAGAUCCAAGCCCGCCCCUCCCUCGUCGCGAGAUCGCAGGAAAUCUGGGCGCGCGGCUCGGCAGGAAGCUAUCCAUCCAAGAAAAAGAUUUGGCGAGGCGAAGGAAAGGGGAGAGGAUAUCGGGAGAGAAGGCGAAUAGACAUGGCUUUUGUGAGGCAGCGGGCGAUGGGGAGGUGGCGGAGAUGAGGGAUGCUAUUGUCUACGAUGGAUUACCUGAGAUCUUGCUGGGGUCCGACGUCGUCGCCGGACGGGCGCCCUCGCAAGGGGGUGGAUGCGGCCGGCCGGCAGGACGGGCUCCUGUGGUACAAGGACGCAGGGCAGCUCGUCGCCGGCGAGUUCUCGAUGGCCGUGGUCCAGGCCAAUAACCUGCUGGAGGACCACAGUCAGGUGGAAUCCGGGUCGCUGAGCACCACGGAUCCCGACCUGCAGGGCACCUUCGUCGGCGUCUAUGAUGGCCAUGGUGGACCGGAGACGGCACGCUACAUCAAUGACCACAUGUUCAACCAUCUGAAGGGAUAUGCAUCUGAGCAGAAAUGCAUGUCAGUGGAAGUAAUUCGGAAGGCUUUCCGAGCGACCGAGGAGGGAUUUCUCUCUCUAGUCAGUAAUCAAUGGUCGGUGAGGCCGCAAUUAGCAGCGGUAGGCUCUUGCUGUCUAGUUGGUGUGAUUUGUGCUGGAACUCUCUAUGUUGCAAAUGUUGGGGACUCCCGUGCUAUUCUGGGGAGACUUGUCAAGGGAACUGGAGAGGUUGUGGCUAUGCAACUCUCAGCAGAACAUAAUGCAUCCUUCGAGGAGGUUAGGCGAGAGAUGCAGGCAAUGCAUCCUGAUGAUCCCCACAUUGUGAUCCUGAAGCACAAUGUUUGGCGUGUGAAGGGUAUUAUUCAGAUAACAAGGUCCAUUGGAGAUGUGUAUCUGAAGAGACCAGAAUUCAACAGAGAACCUUUGCAUAGCAAGUUUCGGCUUCCAGAAACUUUCCGGAGACCGCUUCUUAGUUCUGAGCCAGCAAUUACUGUACACCAAAUACAGUUAACUGAUCAGUUCAUCAUUUUUGCAUCUGAUGGACUCUGGGAGCAUCUUAGUAACCAGAAAGCUGUUGAGCUAGUCCACAGUAGUCCUCGUAAUGGGAUUGCUCGAAAGCUAGUGAAGGCUGCAAUGCAGGAAGCAGCAAAGAAGAGGGAGAUGCGGUAUUCAGAUCUCAAGAAAAUUGACCGUGGAGUGAGGCGCCACUUUCAUGAUGAUAUAACGGUCGUUGUGGUAUUUUUCGAUUCGAAUGCCAUAGCCAUGGAUGCCUGGAGCCGUCCCACAGUUUCUCUGCGAGGUGGCGGCGUUGCCCUCCCAGCAAAUUCCCUUGCUCCAUUCUCAGGUUCCUAGCCUUUCACUGGAGUCAAGAAGACACGAAGGCCAGAAAAGAAAUGGAGAAGAAGACAAGAGCAGCAGCCACGGUCAAGUGUAGCGCGUUUCCUGUGCGUUCUCGCAAGAAAAAAAAACCUUUUAGAUUCAACCUGGUUACUAGUGUACUGAUAGCGGCAAGGUAUAAGAUUAGAUUAUUCUUAGUGUACAUUCUCCGGAUCGUCUUGUGAUAAUAGUUCAUCUCAUCACCAUUUCAUUUUGUUUAGCCCCUCACAAAGUGCUGCAUCUCAAGGCUGGCUAAUCGUGGACAUGUAGCAGGUUGCUUUCUUGAUGCCUUAAUCUGCUGAGCUCUGAUCAACACGAUGUAC